rnacentral:lncRNA from 10 species
UUUUUAGUUUUGCUGUGUCGUCCAGGCUGGAGUGCAGCGGUGCGAUCUCUCCUCAUUGCAACCUCCACCUCCCAGGUUCAACGGAUUCUUGUCCCUCAGCCUCCUGAGUAGCUGGGAUUACAGGCAUGUACCACCACACCCAGUUAAUUGUAUUUUUAGUAGACACGGGGUUUCACUACGUUGGCUAAGCUGGGCUUCAACUCCUUUCCUCAAGUGAUCUACCCGCCUCGGCCUCCCAAAGUGCUGGGAUUACAGGCAUAAGCCAGAAAGCCCGGCCUGAAAUAAAUUUUCUGUAGAGGGUAACUUAUCCUACAUUUUAACAGGAGUGAAUAAAACAUGUUUGCUAUGCUUAUAAGUGGUAAACAAAAAUGUUUGCUUCCUAGAAAACAUGUUUUUCUAAAAAAAAUAAGAUUGUUAAUAAUUAAGAUGUUACAGAUAAAUAUAUGGCUAACUUGCUCAAACAAGAUCAACAUGUUAUACCCCAAAGUCAAACAUUUUAUGUAAACAACUUAUAUAAUCAAUGUUAAUGGUUUACAUAACUUACAGUGUAACCAAAUAGCAUAUAACUAAUGCACCAGCAUACUCAGAGUGUCCCAACUCCCCAGUUAGCAUAUAAGCCUGGUCUGCCACUGACUCCCUGAAUCUUUCUAGAGUGUGCAAAACUGAUCACAGACCACCACAUGCUGACCAUAAUGUGGGUUCCCUAUCUCUAGUAAAGAUCAAAGACAUUGGUGAGUGGAGACCACCUGGACAGUGACAGAGAUCACUCAUUCCCCAGAAAGGUAGCAUUAUGACUUCAAUUCCCAUCCUUGCUUGCUUGCAGCCACCACUUAACUUUUGCUAAAAGAAAUGAGUACAAGCUGUUUAAACUUAAGUGGUUUUGAAUGCAAUUUCUCUUGGUACUAACUGUCAACAUCACAAACUUACAUCUUUGUUUUGACCUCCUGGUAUGAACUCAUUUGGUCAUGAUGAAUUUUUACUGUUUGCUAGACCCUAUUUGUUAUUUCAUUUAGGAUUUUUCUUUGCAUCUAUAGUCAAAGAAGAUAUGGAUCUGCUGUUCUCUUGUCAUAUUUGGUUUUGGAAUCAAGCUAAUGCUACCCUCAUAAAACGAGAAGUCUUCUCUCCUCCUUGAUUUUCUGAAGGAAUUUAUGUAGGACUGGAAUGGUUUAUUCCUUGAGUUUCAAUGAAAUUAAUCAGUGAAGCCAUCUGAGCCACAAGUUUUCUAUGUGGGAAAGUUUAUAAUUAUUAAUUUUUCUUUUUAACGUAAGGUUUUUCAGGUUUUCUAUUUCUCAUUGUGUCAGUUUGGUCAUUUGUGUCUUUUAAGCGAUUAGCCUAUUUAGCUUAAAUUGUUGAAUUUAUUGACAUGUACUUGUUCAUAAUACAGUCAUCCCUUAGUAUAAGGAUUGGUUCCAGGACCCCCUGAGGAUACCAAAAUCUGCGGAAAUGGUCAAGUCCCUUAUAUAAAAUGAUGUACAUGUGCAUAUAAGCUACAUACACUCCAUUGUAUACUUUAAUUUCUAGAUUGCUUAUAAUAUCUAAUACAAUGUAAAUAUUGCUUAUAAUACAUAAUACAAAGUUAUUAUACUCUUUUUAAUUCAUAUUUUUUAUUAUUGCAUUAUUUUAUAUUUUUCUUGGCUAUUUCCAUUUAUAGUUAGUUGAUACACAGAUACAGAACCUGGGAAUACAGAGAAUGGUUUGUAUCCCCCAAUUAUUCCACAAUGCCAGAACAUCUAUAGUGAUAUUUUUCCUUCUUCCUGCUAUUAGUAUUCUUCUAAAUAAUCUUGCUAGAAGUUUAUAAUUCUCUCCAUUGUUUUCAUGUUUUAUAUUCUGUGAAUAUCCACUCUUUAUCAUCACCUUUUCCUUCUAUUUGCUUUGGGUUUAAUUUAGUAUUAUUUUUAUUGCUUUUUAAGUAGGAGACUUAGACCACAGACUACACUAUUCUCCUUUCCUAAUACAAACAUGUAUAGCCAUACAGCAUUGCUUCAGUAAUUUAGUAGCUGCAUCCCUCAAAUUCUGAUAUGUCAUGUUUCUAAUAUUAUUCAGUUCAAAACAUUUUAUAGUUUCUCUUGUGACUUCUUCAUCCACGAGUUAUUUGGAAAUGUGUGAUUUAAUUUCUACAUAUUUCAGACCCACAUAUUUACCAUUUCUUAACAUUUCUUUUUUCCUUUAUGUAAAUCUGUUUUUACCCAGUAUGAUUUUCCUUCAGCCUGAAGAUCAUCUUUUAAAAUUUCUUUAGUGCGUGUAUACUGACAACUUCUCUCUAUUUUUGCUUAUCUGGAAAUGUCAUUUUGUCUCUGUUUUUUAAAAUGUUUCACUGGGCAGAGAAUUUUAGACUGACUUUUUUUCCCCACCUUUCAGCACUUUAAAUAUAUCAUUCCAUUUUUCUGGCUUACAUACCUUCUAGUGAGAAGUUAGCAGUGAUUUUUAUUUAUUAACCACUUCUUCUGAAUGACUAUUCCCUUGUUAGCUGAAGUCGUUUUACAUUUCAGAUAUUUUUAGCUUCUGAACGUUCAAUGGUUCUUUAUAUGUUCAAUUUCUUUCAUUAUGUUCACAUUUUCCUUUUAAGUCCUUGAGCAUAUUUACAAUAGAUAUUUUAAGCUCUUUGCCAACUACUUUCAUGAUCAUUAUCAUUUCCACAUCAGUUUCCAUUAAUAAUUUUUCUCCGCUUCUUUGCAUGCCUAAUAGUUGAAUACACACAUGUGCACAUACAUACACACAUGUCUAGUAGGUUUUAUAUAAAUACAUAUUUUAAGGGUACUAUGAUUAUGUUGUUAAUGUGUGGAUUUUGUGGUCUUCCUUAAAGAGUGAUGAAUUCUGUUCUGACAGGUUAUUAUAUUACUUGCUGUUCAACUUCAUAAAUUUCAGCUUACUUUAAAGCUUUGUUAGAGCAUGUGUAGAGUAGCCACUACACUAAGGCAGUUAUCAAAUUGAGGGAGAGGUGGAUAGUCUGAGGAAAAUAACUAGUAAAUUAAUAAGUGCAUAGGCUUAACAACUAUGACAAAAUGAGAUCUUUGGCUGUGGUAUUUUCACAUAUAACUGACAGGAAGAAAAAGAGAAUGGAAACCUACAUUUCGGAGGGAACUCGACUAGGAAAUACUACCAUAAGCCUAACAAAGACUAUCCCUGGGAGCCAAAUCUGCACCAAUAGAAAGCAGGGUGAGAAUGCAGUGGUGUCUCCAAUAAGAGUACACUAACACCCAUGUUAGAUACAGUCACAAAGAAUCAUAGACCAAGAGUAAUUCCCAAAGAGCAAGGUCAGGGACUAUGAAGGACAAAUGACAAGGGAGCUUAUCUCAGAAAGCAAAAUUAAGGUCCUAGCAAGACCUUACUCCACUGCCAGAGCAAGAAGUCUAUUAUUGUAAGGAACAGGAACUAUCAUAUAUGGCCCAUUCUUUUUUUUCCCAUUGGGAAUUUUCCUUGUCCUUUAUACCAUCAUACAAGAAGCAAGAGGUCAAGAAAAUUAGGAAACUUGUCUCUUAGUUUAUUGGUCACCACAUCAUGAUGAACCACACAGAAACCCGAUAUAGAGGACUUUACCCAAUGAAUGUGACUUUGGGUUAUCAUCCUUGAGAAGAUGGUAUGUUUUAUGAAUGAGAAAGAGGUACAUGGACAUUUGGGUAGCCAAAGAGGCAAACUGAAUAGACUUCUUGUUUUCCCCUAAUAUCCAUCCUCCUAUACUUUUUGGAUAAUAGAGCUCCUUGGGUUUCAGCUGAGCCCUCAGCAGCUCAGCUUAGAGACCUUAUUUCCCAGCCUUACUUGCAGUUAGGUCUGACUAUACAACAAAGUCCUUGAAAAUAAAACGUGAGCCAAAAUUAUGUGCACAACUUCUAGGUCUGGCCAUUAUAAAUGAUUGGGUUUAUCAUUAAAAAUGACUGAAUAUGGAAAUGAAAUGAAGUACCAGUGACUCUCAACAAUGCAGGCAAGGGCAGCAUCCUAAGGAACAGCAAAGCUAAAAGGUCUCUGCUAAACCCUGUAAAGCAUAUCUAAUUCUUGACCGUUAAAUGAGAGAAAAAUAAAUUCUAUAUAUUUAUGUUGACUUCUCCUUGUUAUAAAAGCUUAACAUAUACCUUAAAUAACAUAUUCCUCCCUCGAAAAUAUUUCAUGCUAUUAGGAUCAUUUGGGCUAACAAGUUCUCAUUUAAAAUGUUCAUUGUCUUUAAGAUGAGCCUUACUGACAUACAAGUUAAUAACUUACAUACUCUAUCAUCAAGUUGUACACACACAAUAUAGACACAUAUAUGCACACAUUCAUGAAGUAAACAACAAACAAAAACAAAAAAAUAAAUAUACAGUUGUGACCUCUAGAAAUUCUGGCAUGAAGAUAAACCACAUUAAAAAGUGCAGUUUAGGAUGUCCAAGGACUAUCUGAGGUUGGAACUUAAAAAGGGUUCCAAAAAGGAAGAAUAAAUGGAGUAAACACAUCUUGAGAUCUUAUGCAAUUCUGCCUAGAACUCUGGCAGAACCUAGUGUCAACUGCCUAAACUGAAAAUUUCAGUAUUAAUUAAAAAUAAUUCAUAUAUGGGAUGGGCAAAUUUAGUCUUCUUCUCUUAUUAUCUAUCCUCCCACCCCUCAAAGAAAAAAAAGAAAAAAAAGGAGAGAUUGGGAAAUAUUUAUGCAUUCUAUCGCUACCACGCCUCUUCUCUUGUAUGGAAAGAAUUUUCAAAGUUAUAGCCUGUAAAAUAGUCUUAAAUAUGUUUGUAAAAUCUUUGUGUAACAUCAAACAUUGACAAAUAAGGACAUAUUUUUAAAAGGGAAAUACUGUAAAUAAAUGUUAAACUAAUCAAAACAUUUAUUUGCUAAAGAAACAAUUUCACUGUUCAAUAAGCAUUGUGUGUAUGUGUGUGCAUGUCUCACUUUUGUUCAGGAAGCCAGGCAACCAUGUAAUGUUUUCAAACUGAACUGUACACGGGCCUGGAUGAAGAUGCAAGUAAAAUCCAGCAAGAGUUCUGUACUCCAAACCCUGCAAUUACAAACCUACAUCUGCUCAGUGGAAGGAAAAUCUUUUCCUAAUGCACACAAAUGAGUUAGUAAUGGGCCUGCGAAACACUAUAAUGGGCCCUGAAAAGAAAUAGGAUAAAAAUUAAAACUACCUUUAUUAAUCAAAAAAAUGACUACCACUAAGCCAGAAUCAAGUACAGGCAUUCCUGCUCUAACACAAUAUAUGCACUUCUGUAUAACCUCAUGUUCUGCAAAAUAAAAAUAGUUAGACUUAUUGUGAAGAUAGUGCCAGACCACACAAUACCUAAGGAACUUUUAAAUCUGAGCCCUAACAAAACAAUAAUGAUUAUUAUAAAAAUGGAAAGUUUCCACUGGCAUUUGUACCUAAAAUAAAGCAGUCCACAUUUAAAGCUUCAUAUCCUGGGUCUCUUCUUUUUUUGAUGUGCAUCCUUGAAGACAUUAGUUCUAAUAGAAACCAGUUUAAUAAAAAUUAAAAAUAUCUUCUAGAGACAGCAUUUUUCAUUAGUCAAUUUCUUUUUAACACAAGCAAAAUAUCUUUAAAGCUUAGUCAACACAGAAAAAUGUAUAGCCAAUAAACCAGCAACUUACUGAGCUACAGGAGGAUAUUUCUAUAGGACUUUUAGCAUUUUGUUUAGAUCUUCAGCUACUGCUAAGAAUUCCUCUUUAGUUGAGAAAAGCUUGACCUUGAUCAUUUCAAAAUGCUAACAAGUUUGAAGUAAUCUGGAAACAACCCACAUUGUGGAUACACACACAAAGUGUGUAAAAAUCUACAUUAUAUUGACAUCAUUCCCCUAAAUGCCAAAUACGUCACAAAUUUACAUUUUAAAAUGCUGUAACAGAAUGAAUUACAUACAUUUUUAAAAUAUUACUAGACAUUAAAUGAAAAAUAUUUCUGACAAUCUUAAAUAUAUUAUGCAACAUAUUAUUUUAAAUGAUCCUGAUGCUUACAUGCAUAAAUUUGAAAUAUUGCAUUUCCUCAGUGCUAAAGAUGCCAUAAAAUUUAAAUACAAUCAAUUUCAUAACAUAAUUCCCUGGGGUGGGAAAAUAAUAUAAUAUUAAUUCUAUACAUCUGGCCAGGCACAGUGGCUCAUGCCUGUAAUACCAGCACUUUGGUAGGCCGAGGCAGGCAGAUCAUUUGAGCUGAGGAGUUUGAGACCAGACUAAGCAGCACAGCAAAAACCUGUCUCUACAAAAAACAGAAAAAUUAGCCAGGCAUGGUGGUGCAUACCUGUAGUCCCAGAUACUUGGGAGGCUGAGUUAAGAAAAUCACUUGAGCCCAGGAGGUUGAGGCUGCAAUGAGCCAUCAUUGUGCCACUGCACUCCACCCUGGGCAACAGAGCAAGACUCUGACUCAAAAAAAAAAUUGUACAUAUCUAUAUAAGGUACAUCUAUUAGAAACAUUAAAAUGUGAUAAAAAUGUGCAUUUUGGAAUCCAAGAAGCAUGUUACAUCGAAAGUACAAAUUUUCAUGAGCUGUGAUUUUUUUUUUACAACUAUGAAAAUUUAUUUUAUUUUUAAAAACAGUGCUAAUCACAGAAACAGAAAACCAAAUACUGCAUGUUCUCACUUAUAAGUGGGGGCUAAAUAUUGGGUAAACAUAGACAUAAAGAUGGCAACGAUAGACACUGGGGACUAAUGGAGGGGAGAGGAAGGGGGUGGGUAAGGGUUGAAAAGCUAACUAUUGUAUAUUAUGCUCACUACCUGGACAAUGGGAUCAAUCAGACCCCAAACUUCAGUAUCAUGGAAUAUACACAUGUAACAAGCCUGCAUACAUACCCUGUAAAUCUAAAAUAAAAGAUGGCAGUGUUAAAAAAAGUUAAUGAUAUCAAUUCUAUAAAAAAAACUUUUAGAAAUAAUAUUUGCAGUGUUUAGAUUUGUCUAAGGAAGCUUAACAUUGGGACUUACGCUUUUUAAAAAUCUUUUUUAGCUUUAUUAAGAUUCAAAUGACAAAAAUAUUACAUAUUUAUGGUGUACAUAUUUAUAUAUUAACACAAUGCUGUCCUAUAUGUACACAUUGUAUAAGAUUAAACCAUGCUAAUUAACAUAUCCAUCAUCUCAUAUACUUUUUCUAUGGUGGGAACAUUUAACAUUUUUUAUGGUAACAACAUUGAAAAUAUCAUAAGUCGAAAUGCAUUGAAUUGGCCAGGUGCAGUGGCUCACACCUGUAUUCCCAUCACUUUGGGAGGCUGAGGCAGAUGGAUCACCUAAGGUCAGGAGUUCAAGACCAGCCUGGACAACAUGGCGAAACCCCGCCUCUACUAAAAAUACAAAAAAUAGCCAGGUGUGGUGGCAGGUGUCUGUAAUCCCAGCUACUGGGGAGGCUGAGGCAGGAGGAUUGCUCGAACCUGGGAGGUAGAGGUUGCAGGGAGCCAAGAUCGCACCACUGCACUCCAGCCUGGGCAACAAAGCAAGACUCCAUCUCAAAACAAAACAAAACAAAACAAAAAGAAAUGCAUUCAAUUAUGUCUCAAUAAACUCACCUUAAAGUUGAAAAAUUGUAAGUUGAGCCAUCAUAAGUCAGGGACUCAACACGGUAUGUUAUUAUUAACUACAGUCACUAUGCUGACCAUCUCCAGAACUUAUUCCUCCUAACUGACAUCCAUACCUACACACACUACAUUUUCCUUAUCCAUUCAUCUGUCAAUGGUCAGUUUGAUUGCAUACUUUGGCCACUGUAAAUGAGUAUCAACAUGAGAGUGCAGGUAUCAACUCAACAUACUGAUUUAAUUUCCUUUUGACAUAUACCCAGAAGUAGGAUUAUUGGGUCAUAUGGUAAUUCUAUUUUAAAUUUCCAGAGAAACCUCCUUACUAUUUUCUGUAAUAUCUGUGCUUGUUUACAUUCCCACAGUGUACAAGAGUUUCCUUUUAUCUGUAUCCUCUCCAACAUUUGUUAUUCUUUUUCUUGUAAUAGCCAUUUUAACAGGUGUGAGACGGUAUCUCAUUAUAGUUUUAAUUGGUAUUUCCCUGAUGAUUAGUGAUGUUGAGCACUUUCUCAUCUAUGUGUUGGCCAUUUGUAUAUCUUCUUUGGAAAAAGAAAUUGUCUAUUCAGGUCCUUUGCCCAUUUCCUUUUUUUUUUUUUUUUUGAGACAGGGUCUCUUUCUGUCACCAAGGCUGGAGUGCAGAGGCGCAAUCUUGGCUCACUGCAACCUCAACCUCCUGGGCUCGAGUGAUCUUCCCAUCUCAGUCUCCUGAGUGGCUGGAACUGCAGGUGCACACCACCAUGCCUGGCUAACUUUUGUAUUUUUUUGUAAAGACAAGGUUUUGACAUGUUACCCAAGCUGGUCUCAAAUUCCUGAGCUCAAGCGAUCCACCGGGCUACACCUCCUUGGCCACUUUGCCCAUUUUUUAAUCAGGUUAUUUGUUUUCUUACUAUUGAGUAAUUUAACUUCCAUAUGUACUUUGGAAAUCCUCCCUUUUCAGACGUAUAGUUUGCAAAUAUUUUCUCCCAUUUCAUAGGUUGUCUCUUCACUCUGCUGUUUCUUUUGCUGUGUCAAACCUUUUUAGUUUGAUGCAAUUUCAUUUGUCUAUUUUUGCUUUUGUUACCUGUGCUUUGGAGUGCAUAUCCAAAAAAUAUUUGCCAACAUCAAUGUCGAGAAGCUUUUUCUGUUUUAUUCAGGUCUUAUGUUGAAGUCUUUAAUCACCUUAAGUUGAUGUGGGAAUAAGGAGUAAGAUAAGGGUCCAAUUUCAUCCUUUGAUAUGUAGAUAACCCAUUUUCCCAACACUGUUGAAAAGACUAUCCCUUCCUCAUUGUGUGCCCGUGGCAUCUUUAUUAAAGAAUAAUUGGCCAUAAAUGCAUGGAUUUAUUUCUAGGCUCUCUAUUCUGUUUCAUAGGCAUAUGUGUGUUUUUAAUUCCAGUGGCAUGCUGUUUUGACUAUUAUAGUUUUCUCAAUGUAUUUUGAAGUCAGGUAAUGUGGUGCCUCCAGCUUUGUUCUUUUUGCUCAAGAUUGCUUUGGCUCAUGGGGUCUUGCUUGGUUUUACAUAAAUUUUUGAAUUUUUUCCCAUUUCUAUGGAAAAUGCCAGUGGAAUUUUGAUAACAAUGAUAUGGAAUUUGUAGAUUGCUUUGGGUUGUAUGGACAUUUUAACAACUCUUCCAAUCCGUGAACACAGGAUGUUUUUCCAUUUGUUUCUUUUUCCAUUUUUUCAUUCAUGUUUAGUUGUUGGUGUACAUAUCUUUCACCACCAUGGUUAAAUUUAUUCCUAAGUAUGUUAGCAUUUUAAGUAGGAUGGUUUUCUUUUGGACAGCUUAAUAUUAGUGUAUAGAAAUAAUACAGAUCUUUGUAGAUUGAUUUUAUAUCCUGAAACGCUAAUUAAUUUAUUUCUAACAUUGUUUUGAUGGGGUCUUUACACUUUUCUUAUCUCUAAGAUGUCAUCAGCAAAGAAAAUUUAACUUCUUUCCCUGAUUUGGAUACUUUUUUAAAAUUUCUUUUCUUUCCUCUCUUCCCCUCACUCCCUCCUUCCUUCCUCCCUUCCCUUCCCCACUCCUCUCUGUUUUCUUUCUUUUCUUUCUCUCCCUUUCUCUUUUUCUUUUUUCUUUUCUUUCCUUUUUCUCUUUUAUUUAUUUAUUUUUAUGCCUAAUGAACCUGGCUAGCAAUUCCAGUAUAUGUUGAAUAGAUUGGUCAGAGUAGGUGGUAUCAUCUGAACACUGUGUCCUCAAAAUUCAUAUGUUAAAACCUAAUUCCCAAUGUGAUGGCCUUAAGAGGGUGAGCCUUUGGAGAUGAUUAGGUGAUUAGGCUCCACCUUUAUCAUGAGAUUAAUACUCUUAUAAAAGAGGCCUGAGGAAGCUUGUUCUCCCUAUCUACCAUGUGAGAACAGAGGUAGAAGAUGCCAACAUGAAGGAAAGAACAAGCCCUCACCUAACACUGAAUCCGCUGACAACUUGGCCUUGGACUUCCCAGCCUCCAGACUGUAAAAUAAUUUCUGUUGUUAAUAAGUUACUGAGUCUAAGGUAUUUUCUUACAAUAGCCCAAGCAGAUGAAAUGGUCGAGGAAAAGGUAUCAAGUUUUUGCCACUAAAUUGGAUGUUAACUGUGAGCUUAUCAUAUAUGGCCUUUAUUGGUAGAGGUACAUUCCUUCGAUACCUAAUCUGUUGAGAGUCUGAAUUCUGUCAAAUCCUUCUUCUGCAAAUGUAUUAAGAAUGUUUUUUGUCCUUCAUUCUGUUAAUGUGGUGUAUCCUACUUAUUGAUUUGUAUAUGUGGAACCAUCCUUGCAUCCCAGGGAUAAAUUCCACUUGACUGUGGUGAAUGAUCCUUUUAAUGUGUAGUUAAUUCAGUUUGUUAGUAUUUUGGCAAGGAUAGUGACAAAGGACAUUGGCCUAUAAUCUUUUUUUUUUUUUUUCUUAUAGUGUCCUUCUCUGGCUUUGGUAUCAGAGUAAUGCUGGUCUCAUAAAAUGAGUUUGAAAGUAUUCCCUCCUCCUCUUCAAUUUUUUUUUUAAGAGUUUGAGUACAGUGAAGUCAUCAGGUGCUGGGCUUUCCUUUGAUGGGGGACUUUAUUACUGUUUUAAUCUCUUUACUUGCUAUUGGUUAGUUCCAAUUUUCUAUUUCUUCAUGAUUCAUGUUAGAUUCUAUGUGUCUAGGAAUUUAUACAUUUUUAGGUUAUCCAAUUUGUUGGCAUAGAGAUGUUGCAUAAUAGUCUCUUAUGAUCCAUUAUAUUUCUGUGGUAUCAGCUGUAAUGUCUCCUUUUUCAUUUCUGAUGUUAUAUAUUUGGGUCUUUUUUCAUUUCUUAAUCUAGCUAAGGUUUGUCAAUUCUGCUUAUCUUUUCAAAAAAACCAACUCUUGGUUUCAUCAAUCUUUUCUAUUGUUUUUCUAAUAUCUUCUGCUUUGAUCUUCAUUAUUUCCUUUCUUGUACUAAUUUUGGGAUUAGUUUGUUCUUUUUCUGCUUCCUUGAAGUAUAAUGUUGUUUGAGAUGACUUUUUCAAUGUAGGUGUUUAUUGUUACAAAAUUUCCUUAUUAGAACUCCUUUUGCUGCACCCCAUAGUUUUGUAAACUGUGUUUCCAUUUUCAUUUCUCUCAAGAUAUUUUAAAAUUUCUCUUUAAAUUUAGUCAUUAAUCCAUUGGCUUUUCUUGAUUUCCACAUAUUUGUGAAUUUUCCAAAAUUCCUCCUGUUACUGAUUUCUAAUUUCAUAUGAUUUUGGCUGGAAAAAAUACUUGAUAUGAUUUCAAUCAUUUUGGUUAAGAUUUGUCAUGUGGCCUAACAUAUGAUCAAUCCUGAAGAAUGUUCCCUUACACUUGAAAACAAUGUGUAUUACAAUGUUGGAUGGAAUGUUCUAUAUAUCUCUGUUAGGUCCAUUUGGCCUAAACUAUAGUUCCAGCCCAAUGCUUCCUUUUGAUUUUGUCUGGAUGAUUUAUCCAUUAUUGAAAGUGGGGUAUUAAAGUCCCCUACUAUUAUUGUAUUGCAGUCUAUUUUUUCCUUCACAUCUAUUAAUAUUUGCUUUAUAUAUUUAGAUUCUCUGAUAUUGGUUACAUAUGUUUAUAAUGUAGUAUCCUCUUAAUAAACUGGCCUCUUUAUCAAUUAUAUACUUACCUUUUUGUCUUUUUUUACAUGUUUUGGCCUAAAGUGCAUUUUUUUUCUGAUAUACAUGUAGCUACCCCUGCUCUCUUUUGGUUUCCAUUUGCAUGGAAUACCAUAUUUUAUUCCUUCACUUUUAGUCUGUGUGUGUCCUUAUACUGGAAGUGAGUCUCUCACAGGGCACAUACAGCUAGCUGGGUCUUAAAAAAAAUCCAUUCACUGACUAUAUAUGUUUUUAAAUUGGAUAAUUUAAUCCAUUUAUAUCCGAGGCAAUUGUUGAUAGGUAAAGGUUUAUUAUUGCCUUUGUGUUCACUGUUUUCUGUUUUCGUUUUGUUUUUAAUGCAGAUCCUUUGUUCCUUUCUUCCUCUCUUGCUGUCUUCCUUUGUGAUUUGGUGAUUUUCUGUAAUUAUAUGCCUGGAUUCCUUUCUCUUCAUCUUUUGUAUAUCUACUAUAGGUUUUUGCUUUGUGGUUACCAUUAGGCUUAAGAAAGAACAAUUCAUAGUUAUUAGGAGUCUAUUUCAAGCUGAUAAUAACUUCAAUCUCAUAUACAAACUCUCUAUACUUUUAUUCCUCCUAUUCUAUGCUUUUGAUAUCACAAUUUACAUCUUUUCAUAUUGUACAUCCUAUGACAAAUUAUUGUAGCUAUUAUUUUAAUAGCUUUGUCUUUUAAUUAUAAUAAAAACAAGUGAUUUAUACACCACCAUUAUUAGAGUAUUCUGAAUUGACUAUUACCAGUGAGUUUUACACUUUCAUAUGUUUUCAUGUUCCUAAUUAGCAUUCUUUUUCUUUUCAGCCUGAAGAAUUCCCUUUACCAUUUCUUGUAAGGCAGAUCUAGUGAUGAUGAACUUUCUCAGAUUUUGUAUGUCUGGAAAAGUCUUCUCUCUCCCUUUCUGAAGGACAGUUUUGCUGGGUUUGGUUUUUUGGUUGGCAGGUUUCUUUCUUAUUUUCAGCACUUUGAAUAUAUCAUCCCACACUUUCCUGGCCUACUAAGUUUCUGCUUAGAAAUGUGCAGAUAACUUCCUGAGGGUUCCCUUGUAUGUGAAGAUUUUCUCUUGCUGUUUUCAAUAGUCUCUCUGUGAUUUUUGACAGUUUGACUAUAAUAUGUUGUAGUGUGGUCUUUGGUUUGAAAAUGACUGGAGAACUUUGACUCUCCUUUACCCCGAUGUGACUAUCUCUCCCCAGAUUUGUGACGUUUUCAAUCAUUAUUUCUUUAAAAAUACUUUCUACCCCUUCUCUCUUCUACUUCCUUAAUUGCUAUAAUGUGAACAUUAGCUCUGUUGAGGAUAUCCCAUAAAUCACACAGGCUUUCUUCACUCCUUUUCAUUAUUUUUCCUUCUCUGACUGGAUAUUUUCAAAUAACCUGUAUUUGAGUUCACAGAUUCUUUCUUCUGUUUGAUCAAUUCUGCUCUGAUGCUCUCUAUUGCCAUUUUUCACUUUGUUCAGUUUAUAUUCAGCUCCAGAAUUUCUGCCUAGUUACCUUUUUUUAAAUAAUUUCAAUCAUUCUGUUAAACUCCUCAUUUUAUUUGUGUAUUGUUUUCCUGAUUUUGUUGAAUUGCCCCUCUGUGUUCUCUGGUAGUUUACUGAGCCACCUUAAAAGAAUCAUUUUGAAUUAUCUGCCAAGAUAUUCAUAGAUCUUCUAUUUCUUUAGGAUUAGUUCCUGGAAAAGUAUCAUGUUCUUUGGUGGUUUUAUGAUUCUUUGGCUUUUCACGUUGCUUGUUACUUUGCAUUAAUGUCUGCAUAGUUGAUGAAGCAGUCACCUCCUUCUGACUUCAUAUACUGGUUUCAGUGGAGAAAAAAACUUCUCCUUCAGGUGGGUGUGAGGACACCAGCUGGGUGCAGUGUGACAGUUCUGACUCCAGUAAGGGCAUAGCAGCAUAAUCUCUGUACAGCUCUAUCAACUGAUGUUAGCACUGUCAAAGAUUACAAGGAUCCUCAGCAGCCACUGUCCACAGCAGCGGCAAGGGUUAUUGGGUGCUCCAGUCACGAAGACUGGUGGGGUCGGUCCUCCUCAUCUCUUUUUCUCCUGCCAGGAAAGUUGUGGCCAGUGGAAUCCCUCUUGGCACUGGGUCUGACUUGCAGGUGCAUUUGCAGUGGUGGCAGCAAUGGUAUCUCAUAUGAGGCAUCCAUGAAACAGCCAACAAUUUGGGUUCUGGAGCAUGAGCAUGUGUAGGAACCAUGGCUCCAGGGUCUAGGGCUGAGGUGGCACCCAUAUUCAGAGUGCAGGUUCCACCAUUCCCAUGUUAGUAACAAUGUGCAAGAUGUGACUGCUUUUAGAUCAGCCAGGGGGCUGAGAUCCAAAGCAGCAGCACACACACAGCUACAAUGUUUCUGGGGUCUGAGGCAUGGACUCACUCACUGUGGUAGAAGUAGUUUCAUAGACACAGAAACCACAGCUCCAGGGCGCAGGAUACAGAUUAUUCCAUAAAGGCAGUGGUUCUUGUUUCUGAGGCAUGGGCACACAGGGAAUUACAAAGGUUCUGGGGUCCAAGGAGUGGUCUAGUAUAUUGUGAAGAUGUCAGAUGUCAGAUGUCUGAGGCACAGAUGUUGAAAGAGUAGCAAUGCAGCCAAUGUUCAUAGCAAAGCAACCUGGGCUCCAAGGCUUGGGUUGAGGCUAGUCCACAGCCAUGAUGGUUCUUGUGUUUGAGGUGAGAGUAUGCAUAGUGGGACAGAGUCUGCAAUGUGGGUAUGCGGCCAUGGAGCCAAGGCCUGGUGUGUGGACAUGUAUGGGGCAGUGGAAGCUCUGGAGUCUGGGGCUCAUGUCAGGAUUGGGAGGGUGGUGGUCCCAGUCCUGGAAAGGCAGCUCCUUCUUGGUGGUGGUGGUGGGGGUAGAGGGUGCAACCACAUCCUCCUCUUUGGGGAUCCACAGUGGUGAUGACUGUUGAUCACCUCAAUGGCAAAAGAUACUGAUGUUGUGGUCAGUGGUGACUAUGGUAGCACCUACCAUUUGCCUGAUACCGGUAGCCCCCACCCUUCUUUGUUUCUAGCCAUCUCCAGAUGUCUCAGGUAUGCCAGUCUCCCCAGCUAUCCUUUCUGUGCAGUUAUCCUCUGGAUUUUUGUUUGUUCACUCCACUAUGUUGCUACAAAUUCAUACUUAAACAUUUGAGCCCUCCCAAGGCUACUUUCAUUCAUGGAAAGAUAUCUAGUUCUUGUUUUUUGUUCGGGAGUGAAGACUGGUAUCUCCUACUCGACUAUCUUGCUUCUAUCACUCAGCUUAGCUGUGCUUUCUUGUCAAAAUUAGGAAAACAAAGGUGAUCGUUUCCGAUGAUAAAUACAAUUAACACUUGCAUAACUUCUGCAAAAGGGCUUUACUAUUCUGGUUUCUCCAUAUAGGACAUAAAUGCCAGUUUGUUUCAUCUAUGAAGGUGGUUUAUUUUUAAAUAAAGGUUAUGUAGAACUUUUAAGUGACACAUAUUAUAUAGAAGUCUCGAAGAAAAUUAUGUUAUGAUCACCUGUAGAGUUUUCUAAGCAAUAUGGUCCAAGAGGAUGAGUUUCUCCACCUGAUUCUGUGAGAAUCAAGGCAAUCAAAACAGUUAUUUACUUGAUCAUCCUCAGAUGUGUUGGGGUGAAGAAGAGAGGAUUGUGAUUCACUGAUUUAUAGCAAGAUUUAAAGAAAUUCAUACAUAUACAAGCAAUCUGAUGCUUUUUUCAUUAAAAACUUCAACUUUAUAAUAAUAUCUUAAUUUUUCCUUUGAAAACAAAACAGCUUUUUUUUCUUUUCGUUACGUGGAUGUUGAAAAUGACUCAGUCAAUUUAACUUUGGCCUAAGCCAGCUAAAGUCUGUAGAUAUAGAAGUACAGCUUAAAUGGGAGUUAAAGGAUCUGGGCUAAAAUCCCAGCUUUGCCAUUAACUAACAACACUGAGAGAAAAUCUAGUAAACACAUAGUCUUUUAAACAUCACGUUGCUCAAAAAAAAGCCUUUUUAAAAACAAAUGAGCUUAUUUUAAUUGAAGUACUACUUCCCUCAAAGAUGUCCACAUGCCACAGUAGACAAUAUUUCUUGCUUGGGCAUGGUCGCUCAUGCUGUGAUACCAGCAAUUUGGGAGGCCAAGGCAGGAAGAUAGCUUAAGGCCAGGAAUUCAAGACCAUCCUGGGCAACAUAGCUAAACCUUGUCUCUACAAAAAAAUUUUAAUACUUAGCCAAACAUGAUGGCACAUAUCUGUAGUCCUAGCUACUCAGGCAGGAAGGAUCCCUUGAGCUGAAGAGUUCAGACUGCAGUGAGCUAUGACUAUGCCACUGUACUCCAGCCUGGGCAACAGAGUGAGACCUUUUCCCUAAAAAUAAAAAUAAAAAUAAAAUAUUUCUUUACCAUUUUUAGCUACUAGUCUGUUCACAAUUACACUUUUGAAUUUCUGCCCUUUACUUCCAUUCCACUUCUCCCACAGAAAGGAAAAGGUUCUUCAUUUAAGUAUAAUUUGCAAAUUCCCUAGAAUUCACUCAACUUUUUGUUUUCCUUAUAAACAAAACAAAAUUCAACUUCUCUCAUCUAUGUCAGACAUGCAGGGAAUAAAAAAAGAUAACAAAUAGAAAAACAACCUGCAAACUCCACAUUAUACAAAUAUUAAGUUACUCUUGUUUGCAAUUAAUAAUGAAAUGUUUUCAGUCUCUUUGCCCUUUGAAUCUUGGCACUGAGUUUCUACUCCUAUUUAUCCAGUUCCUCAAAGGGAAAUACUGGAUCACCUUGCUUUUCAGUUCUUUUCCUUUCCAUUGGCAAAGCAGGAAAGCAAGCACAAAACCAUGAGUAUUCAUUUCUAUGGGUCUGCAAAAACUUAAUUAUUUUCUAUUUUUUAAUCUGGAGUCACCCAACAGCCCUUACUAAACAUCAACAAUUCCCCUUUUUUCUUUGGUGAAUGCCUUAAUCUGUUGAAAAGAAUUCCCUUAAUCAAGUCUGCUUAUUUACAUAUCUAAGUAAAAACUUAAAGAAAAUUUGAAUAUAUGCUGACCAAUUUAGGGAAAUAGUGGGAUUUUUUUUCCCCAACAUUUGAAACAAUUGUGUGAUCUGGAAGAUAUUGGUAGGUUUCCUGGAAUAAGACAAGCAGCAUUAUUUCUUCCUUUUCCACAACCCUUGGAGAAUUAAAACAUGUCUGUGUCAAAAUCUGUGUUUCCCCAAAAUGCAGCCUGGAAAAAUGUAACUGAUCAUCAUUCCCCAGGAAAAGAAGAAAAGAAAUGCUAGAAUUCUAUGGCUCUACCACCAGAUGAGAAAUAACGUAACUGUAGCCAACUUUUGUCAGCGACUCACCCACAUCCCCUCACAUUUAACCAGUUCAGUGUUCAUGGACCUGACUGGGCUCCUUCACCAAAUAAAAAGAACAUUGGAGGCAAAAAUCCAUUCAUCUUACAGUGGAAGGACUAUAUCUUAAAUCUACAAAAAACAUAAAGUCCCUCUAUUAUGCUUUCCAAAGGAAAAGUGACUUUCUUUUACUUCAAAUGCAUACUAGCCUCUCAACCAAAAGUUAUUAUUAAAGUCCGUUAGUAAUAUCAUUAUGAAUUAAAGUCAAUUAGUAAUAUCAUUAUGAACUAAUUUAUUGCCUACUACAUUUUUGGAGGAAAAGUAACAAAGUCAAGCGAAAUAUAUAUUUAAAACAAGAAUGGUAAUUGUAAUGACUAAUGUGAAUACUUUCCAAUUUUCUAAAACAAUUAUAUUCCUUCACAGCUAACUUCCUGAUCAAUUUUUCCUAUCAGGGCUACUAACUCAAAGAAAAAUAGAAGGCAUAUAAUAUUAAUAUAAUCUAAAAUUUUAAGGUAAAUAUAAUGCAUUUUACUUAUCAACUUUAAAAAUUACAAACACUGAAAAUUAUAAUAAAAUCAUUACUUUUAAAUGUCCAUAUUUUGGUAUAUUUCAUUUAUUCAGUCAUUGAACAUUCAUGGGGGGAGGGGGUCUAUGACGUACAAGAUACAUCUUGUGGCCCAUUUAAUAUUAGAAACAAAGGAAGGAAUGGAAAAAACAUCAAGUAAACACAAUGCAACUCCACAAUGAAAUUUUUAAAAACCAUAUAUAGAAGAGAGAAAUUUCAGAUUGCUAGCCUCAAUGUUUAUGUCUUUACAACUACAUAUACAAACACAGAAAUAGUCAUUCACUCACUCAACAAAUACCAAGCAAUCAUUAAACAGAAGACAAUACUAGCCUAUACGAUAAAAGAGUAGUACACUAAUACUCAUGUUGCUUAAAAUUAAGUUGAAGUCAACUUUAGUAUUUACUACUCUGGACUUAUAAUUUAAGGUAAGAAAUCAACAUAUUCAAUAAAGACAAUGAAAAUUUGUGUUAGCACUUAUUAAAAAUUUAGAACCAAAAAAUGCAUCUGUUUAUUUGGUAUUUUAUGUUUAAAGUUUCACUCUGAACUUUAUACAUUAAAAAUACUCAUCUAGAUUUGAAAAAUCUUUUCACAAACGUAGAGAAGAAAAUAACAAAAAUAAACUUAAAAUAAACUUAUAAGGAUAUUUUAAAUUUAAAAAUGUAUUUAAUGACCUAAGAUAGAACUGAUUAAUUCUAAUUUUAAAAAGCAGAAACUGUUUUUAUAUUCACACCAAAAGAUACAAAUAAAGUUAUGUCAUUUGCUCUCAAUAUUUAGUCAAUUUCAAAAUUAAUAUAAUGUUGAGUACAGUCUUUCCCACAAGAAAUCUAUUAGUGUUAGCAAAAAUAUUCAAAACAACAUUUUGUAUUUAAUGUAUGGGAAGAUAUAUGAAAUCAAGAAAUGUUGAAUAGAUUUCAAGUAUUAAAGAAAAACCAAAAAAAAAAACCAAAACAAUUAUCAAAUAAUUCAGUGAAAUAAAAAAUAUAAAGAGCUGUUACAUAAAUUUAGUAUUAUUGAUUUGUAUAGAUCAGAUGAGUUUAACCUUAAAACAAAGUUUAUGUGACCUCUAAAAUGCAGGUGGGGCUUUAAUAACCAAGGCAUUAAUCAUAAUAUUAAGAGGCCAAUAAUGCAAGAGGCCAGAAGCCUACCUUAAUGAACUGAUAUUAAAUUUCUUAGAUACAUUAUUUUCUUAAAAUUUAUGUCUACAGUCUCUGAAUCCCCUCUAGCUGAUUAUGGGAAAAAGAAAGACAGCAGGAGAAAUAAACUUUUCAAACCAGAACCCAAUUUUUUCCAGGUUACUUUCCUUCAGUUUACCUCAAUAAACUGGCAGAGUUGGUGAAAAAUAGGAGGGUAUAUUCAUCCAAAUCGUCAUCAGAGCUGCUAUCAGUUGCAUCGGAAUCCAAACCCUCUUCAACAUGAGACAACAGCC